rnacentral:lncRNA from 1 species
AGGGUCAUACAUAAGUUACUGUAAUUUUGCAGCUGCUUUCUAAUACCUCAUAAUCAUUAAGAAGUGGAGGAGUAACAAUACUGAUGAAAGCAAGUAUCAGAUCCUAAAAGAUUAAUUAAAAACUCUAUUAUUUAACACUCUCAAUUUAACAGGCCUGGACUGACCUUUCCUCCUCAGUUAAGAACAAAAACCCCAGAGCAAACAAAAUAACAACCCCACACACCUGCUUUUUUUUGUGGUAGCUCACCUGUUUGUCUGAUAGCUCACCUGAAUCAGGUGUUUUUUACUCAAUAAAAGAGCUGCAAGCAGGGUAAUCAGUGGCUCUGUGUCAAUGUGCAGCAGCUGAGGAUCUGGUCUGAAAAGCAAUCAACAUCCUUCUUUUUGCUGUCUUGCAAAGUACCUGCGGCAGCUGCUCUGCAGGUCCCCUGCUGUGCAAAUCGCCCUUCACAGAGGAAGAUCUUCCUGUCAGUGACUGACGAGAGGUGCCAGGAGCAGGCUAGGAGACUUUUAAAACCCUCGACUUGGCAAAUCAGCAGCGCUAUGAAAAACUAUCACUUUGUUACUUUGGGUCUUUUGAGGAGAAGACUUCAUAGACUUGAAAGUUUCCUGUUUAUGAAAAGCCUAAAUGUAAAAGAAGAGAUCUGGCGAUCAGCCCCAUAUCUAACUGAUCACAAGAAUAAGCAUUUCUAUGGCAUUCCUGCUACGAGACCUCACUGGUAACAUUUUUCCUUGAACUCUAUAUCCUGAAAAUAACACAGGGCUUUAUGAAGGAAGCUGGAGGCAGUUCUCAUUAGUCUCACUGACAUCUUUUAUCACUUAUCAGAGGAACAAGCAAACGGAGAGCAAUUCCUUUGAUCAUGGCAAAAGUAGAAAGAGUAUUAAAAACCCUAUGAAGAUUCACUAAGUAGAAAGUGGAAAAGACAGUCUGUGGCAUGUUUCAAAGAAGUAACAUGAUUUAAAGUUGCCAGAUUUGCUUGUAUAUAUUAAAGAAUUGUUAAUGAUGCUACAUUUUACAUGCAUCCCAGGGUGGGUUUUUUUGUUGUUGUUGUUUUUGUUUGAAGAAGAGGCGAAGGAGUUCUGAAGUAGAAUGGAUGGAUUAGAGCAAUUGGAAAAUAUCUCUAAAGGGUGAACUGUGUCAGAAAGGAAUCCAGAGAUUCAAUGAAAAUUGUUGAAAAUAAAAAUAAGGUUGUACGGUGCCA